UACGGAAGGCAGCAGUGGGGAAUAUUGCACAAUGGGCGAAAGCCUGAUGCAGCUAUGCCGCGUGUAUGAAGAAGGCCUUAGGGUUGUAAAGUACUUUCAUCGGGGAGGAAAAACAAAACUAAUAAUUUUAUUUCUUGACGUUACCCGAAAAAGAAGCACCGGCUAACUCCGUGCCAGCAGCCGCGGUAAUACGGAGGGUGCUAGCGUUAAUCAGAAUUACUGGGCGUAAAGAGCACGUAGGUGGUUUUUUUAAGUCAGAUGUGAAAUCCCUGGGCUUAACCUGGAACUGCAUUUUGAAACUGAAAUACUAGAGUAUCGUAGAGGGAGGUAGAAUUCUAGGUGUAGCGGUGAAAUGCGUAGAUAUCUGGAGGAAUACCUGUGGCGAAAGCGGCCUCCUAAACGAAUACUGACACUGAGGUGCGAAAGCGUGGGGAGCAAACACGAUUAGAUACC
rnacentral:rRNA from 1 species